rnacentral:tRNA from 1 species
GGGUCCAUAGCUCAGUCGGUAGAGCAACUGACUUUUAAUCAGUAGGUCGCUGGUUCGAAUCCAGCAGGGCUCACCA